AUUUAAUACUUAUUUUCAGUGGAACCUCAAAAGAAAAUACGCAGGAGGGCAAAGCCUCAAAUAAUAUGGAAUGAGGAGGAAAACCACUUGGUUCUAGAAUAUUCGCUAGAAAAUGUGAAAAUUGAGAAACCAAACGCCCAAUUGUACUACCAAAAAUUAAUUGAAACAACAAAUAUCGAUGCGACUACGGACAUGUUGCGAUGCAAGGUCCGGUACUGGAAGCAUAUGUAUAUUAAAGCUGAGGAGUGGCGCAAAUCGACGGGUGCUGGAAUAGACGUUGGCGAUGAUGUUUCCUCAAAAAAAGCAAAACUUUCAAAAAUGUGUCCAAAUUAUGAACGGUUUUCGGUUUUAUUUGGGAGUAAAUCCGAAGCCAAUUGUGUUGUAGAGACGUACAACCCUGAAGUGUCACAAUACUGCAGCGAUUUUGCAGACCUUGUAG